AGUGUGUCGACUGUCACUACCCCCUCCACACACUUGAGAUAUGUGGCCGUGGCAGAAGAAGACACUGAACAUGUGCCAAAGAGAGAGGAGUACCUUUUGGGGACUGAGCCACAUGGGCCUUGGCUUUCUCGACAUUACACAUGAGAGGGGGCCACCACCGUACCAGAAGCUUCCUCAAGAGAGCCGUGGCUACGCCGGUGGUAAGCAGACUCCAGGGUGUUUACUUAGUCGCUCACAGCAGGAGAGCAGCCCCAGCUUUCCUCCUCCAGUCAACAGUGGUUUCCUCCCUUGCCCAGUGCCCCUGGAGAAGCCCUCCCGGUCGACAGUGGUUUCCUCCCUUGCCCGGUGCCCCUGGAGAAGCCCUCCCAGUCAACAGUGGUUUCCUCCCUUGCCCGGUGCCUCUGGAGAAGCCCUCCCAGCUCUUUUCACAGGAAGUGCUCUUGCAGUCCAGGCUGCUAAGGCGAGCGGGACUGAGGGGAGACACUUAGGUAAAAGAGCUGAUGUGCUAGCACAAGAAAACUCAUGAAAGAAUCAGUCCCUUUUUCUACCAAAACACACAUGUCUAUAUGCUGCUGCCCCUUGAUGUCCUGAACCAGCUGAGGAUCUGGGGAUGCAAUGAGCGCAGCAGAGCAGAAAGGAGAAAAGAGCCAGAGCCUUUAACAGUGUCUCUCAGCCUCUGAAAAUCACCUUCUUGGAUGUCUUGCUAAUUGAGACACUAAUUACUUUUAAGCCAGGGAACCAAUUGUGCCUGUGCCUGAACGCAAGCUGGGGCUAGGUUUAAGGGACAUUCGCUUGGACAACCAGAGGCCCUGUGAGCCAACGAGAGCUGAAUACCUUCCUGAUGACAUUAUCAGAUCCUGAGGCAAGGGAGAGAUCAACCUGUGGAAGAUGCUCAGGAAAAAGUUGGCCGAAAUGGGCAAGUAGAUUGAGAAUGAAAGAUGAAGGGUGGACCACAGAAAGAUAACUACAAACCCAGAAAGCAUGAGGCUGCUUGACACAGCAGGACACAAAACCUGGACCCGAGAUGAAACUCAUAUUAACAAAUCAUGAUUACGUAAUAUUGCUGACAGGAAAGUCACAGUAGUCCUCAGCACCACAGCUUGAAUGAGAGACUGCCUUGCUACUCUAAUUAAUGAAAUGAAGGAUUAAUUUAUAAAUCAAACACUCAUAUUAAAAAUUCAGAGGCCGGCAAUCAAUAUUCUUCUGCUCAUGCUACAGUCAUCUAAUUUUCUGUAAUAAAUGACAUUAGAAGAUGAGUAUUGGUAAACUAAUAGAACAUUCCAUUGAAAUACUUCUCAAGAGCGCUUGCCAUCUUGCAUGGCUCAUUGACGGAUGAUAUUAAUACAAGCCGUGGGUGGAUCCAGAGGACAGUACAGUAAUUGACUCCUCAUUGAGCGGUGGAGAGCUUCCACUUGAGUAGAAUGGUGCCUGAGCCAUUUAGAGAAUCUGAACUAGAGACAUUUAGAGAAUUAGUAAAUGUGUAGCAAUAUCUGCCUUUCUUUUUAAGACAAAAUGGGUCAGGUCUUGCCUCUGAAGCCUGGGACCAGUGUUGACGUUGGCCGAGCCGAACCGAUGCUAUCUCCCAGGAUUCUGAAUCUUAAGGCCAUGAAGUCAGGACAGGAGGAAGGUGCAUUAUCACAGCAACCACAUUGCCCCUGCCACCUGGCUCUUCAGAAAGGCCUUGGUUCUCACCCACCUCCCAAGUUUGGUUUCCAAGCCACCUUUCAUUCGAAGAACUCGGAUGUCCUUCUAAGAAAUUCCUUUAUGCUGAAAAUGGCCAGAGUCCGUCUCUCACUGGCAACCUGGACUUUUGACUGAGACAUAAAUAGCCUGAGGGAAGAAAAGCCAGCCGCCGUGUUGUGAGAACAGUCAAGCAGCCUUAUGAGAGGUCUUCAAGGUGAAGAACUGAAGUGUCAUGCCAACCACCAGCACAAAUGGGGCAGCCAUGCCAGUGAGCCAUCUCGGAAUCGGAUCUCCCAGGCCCCCUUCAAAAGACUGCAGUAUGGUGAGGGACCGUGACCCAGAACCACGGAAGUCACUCCUGAAUUCCUCUUCCAAGGCGUAUGUAAAGUGCUACUUUUUAUUGCAUCCCCACCAGCCAUGUGGGAGGGCUCCCCUUUCUCCACACAAGUAGGUGUCUUUAGAAACUUAGGAUUCACCUCGUGGCCAACCCUGUAGUCACCAGGAAAUGUAAUAGUCCUGGAUCUACUUCCUCAUAACCCUCCACCUCAGGUUCCAAAGGCCUUGCCCCUCACGUUCAGCUUCCAGAGUGGAUUGUCGGUCAUUCUGUAUUGCGUGCAGGUCCGUCGUCAGAUGGGGAACGGGGCCUCCAGCCCUAAGAAUGCAGGAAUGGAGAAGGGCAGAAAGCGUUCUCUCCUAAGUCUCUGCUCAAAGUGGAAACUCAAAGGGCUUGCCUGGCAGUCCAGUGGUUAAGACUCCAUGCUUCCAGUGCAGGAUUUACAGGUUUGAUCCCUGGUUGCGUAGCUAAGAUCACACAUGCCCUGCCAGGAAAAAAAGGGAAAUCAGAAAUUAAACUCAAACCCUUAACACAAUGAAGAUUGAUUCCCUUUCUUUCCAACACAUUUCUGUGAAUUUUUAUUACACUCACUAUGCGACAAAAGGCUGAGAGGAUGAUCCAGUGCCUGAAGCCAAAGGCCUGGCUCCAAGGUGAAAAUGACUCCAUACUCCUUACUUUUCUCUUCUCUGAAGAAUGCUUCAGCUCAGUGUUUCUUAACUACACGAAGCCUUAAUCCCUUGAGAUACUCAGAGGAGGAAAACAAGUUCUAUGAACAAAACAGUGAGAGAAUUUCUGCAUUCCAAAGCCCCCUCUCAGAGAUCCACAGCAUAAGUACCUGUCCUCUAAAGCUGCCGCUCAGUAAGGAAACCUAGCUAACCCAGGACUUCCCCAAUGCUCCUGACAACAGAAUGUUUAUUCUUGCCUAAUGUGAAAUCCUGCUGAAUGAGUACUCAACAGAGUCCUUUGGGAGACACUGUUUCACCCCAGAUGUUGGUUUACUCUCUUUUUCAGUUCAGAUUCCAUGGCAAAAGCAAGUGGGAAAGCAU
ensembl:lncRNA